UGUAAAGGGCUUUGUAUGCUCUUUGGCACAUAGUCUGUGCUCAGUAUAAAGCACACUAUUAUUUCUAUAAGAACUCAGACUCUUGUGUACACAGAGGAGCACCCUGGCUGCUAGUGAGGUUAACUUGCUCACUCAUUUGUUCUCUUUGCAAGUGUUUGGUGCUGGGUGUCGGUGAUCUUGUGUAAGGCAAAUGGCACAUGGUCGGUGAAUAUUUACGGAGUGUAUGGCUACAGAGAUUUUCAUCCUCUUGGGGAAGUUUGCCUGGGAAGGGGUCACGCUUGCCUGGUGAGGAGAAACCCAUGAAGGACCCUGUCUCCCAGAUGGAGGAAAUCUGACAAGCAGUGGUGUGGGGAGCAGGCCUGCGGCUAUUCUCACACCAGUGUCUUCAUCGUUGGUGUGACUUGGGCCCAGGAGGACUUAUGUUUUGGAGAAGGAACUUCAAACUGCCUUUUUGGGGACUGUUACAACCCUGCAUGUUGAUGACAGAUUUCCUGAGUGAUGGUAACCAGAUGGGUGUUGGAAUCAGCUUCUUAGCUCUGGCCAGGUGACUAAACAGGUAUGUUGAUGUUAUUUGCUUUUCAUAAUUUGCAUGAAACUAAUUUGAUCUCAGUCAUAAUCAAGGAGACAUGAUCUUCAGCAGAAAGAACAACAUCUCAUAUAAAAUUGUGUGUCUUGGGUCAUCUUUCAUCUACCUUUGAAGUGAUUUAUGACUCUCUAAGCUAAUAAAACACCUUGCUGAAAUAAAACGAUUUGUCCA
rnacentral:lncRNA from 1 species